rnacentral:rRNA from 1 species
AAUCAACGCUGGCGGCGUGCCUCAGACAUGCAAGUCGAACGCGAAAGUCCUCUUCGGGGGAUGAGUAGAGUGGCGCUCGGGUGAGUAACACGUAGGUAAUCUACCUUUGGGUGGGGAAUAACAGCCGGAAACGGCUGCUAAUACCGCAUAAUGCAGCGGCUCGACAUCGAGACAGUUGUUAAAGCGGGGGAUUCCGAAAGGAACCUCGCGCCUAAAGAGGAGCCUGCGGCAGAUUAGCUAGUUGGUAAGGUAAUGGCUUACCAAGGCUUCGAUCUGUAGCCGGCCUGAGAGGGCGGUCGGCCACACUGACACUUAAAUACGGGUCAGACUCCUACGGGAGGCAGCAGUCGGGAAUUUUGGGCAAUGGGCGAAAGCCUGACCCAGCAACGCCGCGUGAAGGAUGAAAUCCCUCGGGAUGUAAACUUCGUAAGAACAGGAAGAAUAAGUGGGGGACGAACUACCCCCACUGAUGACGGUACUGUUCGUAAGCUCCGGCUAACUCCGUGCCACGCCGCCGCCGUAA